rnacentral:rRNA from 1 species
AAAAGCUCGUAGUUGAACCUUGGGCCUGGCUGGCCGGUCUGCCUCACCGCAUGCACUGGUCCGGCCGGGCCUUUCCCUCUGGGGAGCCGCAUGCCCUUCACUGGGUGUGUCGGGGAACCAGGACUUUUACUGUGAAAAAAUUAGAGUGUUCAAAGCAGGCAUAUGCUCGAAUACAUUAGCAUGGAAUAAUAGAAUAGGACGUCGCGGUUCUAUUUUGUUGGUUUCUAGGACCGCCGUAAUGAUUAAUAGGGACAGUCGGGGGCAUCAGUAUUCAAUCGUCAGAGGUGAAAUUCUUGGAUCGAUUGAAGACUAACUACUGCGAAAGCAUUUGCCAAGGAUGUUUUCAUUAAUCAGGAACGAAAGUUAGGGGAUCGAAAACGAUCAGAUACCGUUGUAGUCUUAACCAUAAACUAUGCCGACUAGGGAUCGGGCGGUGUUAUUUCUUGACCCGCUCGGCACCUUACACGAAAGUAAAGUUUUUGGGUUCUGGGGGGAGUAUGGUCGCAAGGCUGAAACUUAAAGAAAUUGACGGAAGGGCACCACAAGGGGUGGAGCCUGCGGCUUAAUUUGACUCAACACGGGGAAACUCACCAGGUCCAGACACAACUAGGAUUGACAGAUUGAGAGCUCUUUCUUGAUUUUGUGGGUGGUGGUGCAUGGCCGUUCUUAGUUGGUGGAGUGAUUUGUCUGCUUAAUUGCGAUAACGAACGAGACCUUAACCUGCUAAAUAGCCCGUGCCGCCUAGGCGGCACGCCGGCUUCUUAGA